rnacentral:rRNA from 1 species
UACGUAGGGCGCAAGCGUUAUCCGGAAUUAUUGGGCGUAAAGAGCUCGUAGGCGGUUUGUCGCGUCUGCCGUGAAAGUCCGGGGCUCAACUCCGGAUCUGCGGUGGGUACGGGCAGACUAGAGUGAUGUAGGGGAGACUGGAAUUCCUGGUGUAGCGGUGAAAUGCGCAGAUAUCAGGAGGAACACCGAUGGCGAAGGCAGGUCUGUGGGCAUUACCUGACGCUGAGGAGCGAAAGUGUGGGGAGCGAACAGG